AUCCCGCUGACGAGUCCCGAAAAGGACGAAACGCGCGCCCUGUAU
rnacentral:hammerhead_ribozyme from 1 species